rnacentral:rRNA from 1 species
UACGAGGGGGGCAAGCGUUGUUCGGAUUUACUGGGCGUAAAGGGCGCGUAGGCGGCAAUUCAAGUCAUCUGUGAAAUCUCCGGGCUUAACUCGGAACGGUCAGAUGAUACUGCUUUGCUAGAGUGCAGAAGGGGCAAUCGGAAUUCUCGGUGUAGCGGUGAAAUGCGUAGAUAUCGAGAGGAACACCAGAGGUGAAGACGGGUUGCUGGGCUGACACUGACGUGAGGCGCGAAAGCCAGGGGAGCAAACGGG